AUGUUCUCUACAGCUCUACUGAUCCUGUGGGUUUCUGUAUCCUAUGUUAACAGUAUUGAACUGACUCAGCCUGGUUCUAUGAUGGUUCGUCCAGAUAUUAUAAAUGCUGAGAUCAGACUUGAGCAGUCUUCUGCUGUGGUGAAGAAACCUGGAGAAACUGUGAAGAUCUCCUGUAUAAUAAGUGGAUACAGCAUGACCAGCAAAUACCUGCACUUGAUACGACAGAAACCAGGACAAGCUCUGGAGUGGAUUGGUCGGAUGGAUACUGGUGAAAGUUCAGCAGAUUAUGCAGAUUCUAUGAAAGAUCACUUCAUACUGACUGAGGACGUUCCCUCAAGCACACAGUUCUUACAGUCCAAGAGUCUGAGAGCAGAAGACACUGCUGUUUAUUACUGCGCUCGACAAGACCACAGUGACUGA